rnacentral:siRNA from 1 species
CCCAAGCCUUCUGGCCGAGGGCAC